rnacentral:rRNA from 1 species
UACGGAGGGAGCUAGCGUUGUUCGGAAUUACUGGGCGUAAAGCGCACGUAGGCGGCUUUGCAAGUUAGAGGUGAAAGCCCGGGGCUCAACCCCGGAAUUGCCUUUAAGACUGCAUCGCUUGAAUCCAGGAGAGGUGAGUGGAAUUCCGAGUGUAGAGGUGAAAUUCGUAGAUAUUCGGAAGAACACCAGUGGCGAAGGCGGCUCACUGGAGCUGGUAUUGACGCUGAGGUGCGAAAGCGUGGGGAGCAAACAGGAUUAGAAACCC